GAUGAACGCUGGCGGCGUGCCUAAUACAUGCAAGUCGAGCGAACGGACGAGAAGCUUGCUUCUCUGAUGUUAGCGGCGGACGGGUGAGUAACACGUGGAUAACCUACCUAUAAGACUGGGAUAACUUCGGGAAACCGGAGCUAAUACCGGAUAAUAUUUUGAACCGCAUGGUUCAAAAGUGAAAGACGGUCUUGCUGUAACUUAUAGAUGGAUCCGCGCUGCAUUAGGUAGUUGUUACGUUAACGGCUUACCAAGGCAACGAUGCAUAGCCGACCUGAGAGGGUGAUCGGCCACACUGGAACUGAGACACGGUCCAGACUCCUACGGGAGGCAGCAGUAGGGAAUCUUCCGCAAUGGGCGAAAGCCUGACGGAGCAACGCCGCGUGAGUGAUGAAGGUCUUCGGAUCGUAAAACUCUGUUAUUAGUGAAGAACAUAUGUGUAAGUAACUGUGCACAUCUUGACGGUACCUAAUCAGAAAGCCACGGCUAACUACGUG
rnacentral:rRNA from 1 species